rnacentral:rRNA from 1 species
AAAACUUUCAACAACGGAUCUCUUGGCUCUCGCAUCGAUGAAGAACGCAGCGAAUUGCGAUAAGUAAUGUGAAUUGCAGAAUUCAGUGAAUCAUCGAAUCUUUGAACGCAGCUUGCGCUCUCUGGUAUUCCGGAGAGCAUGCCUGUUUCAGUGUCA